rnacentral:rRNA from 1 species
UACGUAGGGGGCAAGCGUUGUCCGGAUUUAUUGGGCGUAAAGGGCGCGUAGGCGGCUAGAUGUGUCAAAGGUGAAAUCCCUCGGCUCAACUGAGGAACUGCCUUUGAAACUGUCUGGCUUGAGGCCGGGAGAGGGUAGCGGAAUUCCCAGUGUAGCGGUGAAAUGCGUAGAUAUUGGGAGGAACACCAGUGGCGAAGGCGGCUACCUGGACCGGUUCUGACGCUGAGGCGCGAAAGCGUGGGUAGCAAACAGG